UACGGAAGGCAGCAGUGGGGAAUAUUGCACAAUGGGCGAAAGCCUGAUGCAGCUAUGCCGCGUGUAUGAAGAAGGCCUUAGGGUUGUAAAGUACUUUCAUCGGGGAGGAAAAACAAAACUAAUAAUUUUAUUUCUUGACGUUACCCGAAAAAGAAGCACCGGCUAACUCCGUGCCAGCAGCCGCGGUAAUACGGAGGGUGCUAGCGUUAAUCAGAAUUACUGGGCGUAAAGAGCACGUAGGUGGUUUUUUUAAGUCAGAUGUGAAAUCCCUGGGCUUAACCUAGGAACUGCAUUUUGAAACUGAAAUACUAGAGUAUCGUAGAGGGAGGUAGAAUUCUAGGUGUAGCGGUGAAAUGCGUAGAUAUCUGGAGGAAUACCUGUGGCGAAGGCGGCCCCUGGACGAAGACUGACGCUCAGGUGCGAAAGCGUGGGGAGCAAACAGGGAUUAGAUACC
rnacentral:rRNA from 1 species